GAUAGUUUCAUCAUGCAUUUGUUACAUAAUAAACAUUCUUUGGCGAUCAUGUUGUAUGAUAGGAUGGACUCUACAAGGAAGUCUUCUCUCACAUUGGUAUUCUUAUUGGCUUUUUUCAUCAUUGCUUCAGAUAUGGGUAUGAAAUCUGAAGCGCAAAUAUCUCCACUUGCACGCUGUUCCAAAGACUCAGAUUGUAAACGUUAUUGUCCAACUUGUUAUCAAUGUAAUUGUGUGCGACGUGUUUGUUUGUGCGAAAACUCACCACCUUUAGCCAAUAAUAUUCAUAGUCAAGCUCCCCCAUAUUGAGUAUGGUGAUAUUGUGAUGUAAUCACAUAUGAAUGAGAAUAAUUAUGGAUUAAUAUGUAGCAUCCAAAACCUUAUGAAUGAUAAAGGAAAACUUCACUAAUA